CCUAAAUCUUUUCUUCUCUUUUCUGCGAGGUCAUUGACUUACAGGAGUUACCUGGAGUUGCUUCUUCAGUUAGUGGAUAUUAAGAAGCUCACAACCACGCUGGAACUUCAUACUAGCAGCUGCAGACUCAAGAUACGAACACGAUCUCUUUAUUCGCUUAUAUGAACUUUGCGAACAAUUUCUUCUUGAAGCCUUCCAAUCGGAUUAGUGGUCCACAAACACACGUUCCCAUCAAUUUCCCGAAAGGAUCUUUGAGAUCCUCUGUCUCUCUUAGAAGCAUCAUUACACAAUAAUUUUAACUCCUCUUUUUGUACUCUUUUUGGGACUGAUUUAAUUUCAACAGACAUUGUCCCAAAUUUCCAACCAAUCGAAAAAUCUCCUUCCUUUCUUCAUCUGUUAUCGAUUCACGGUCUCUGAUACCAGUUGUAGUCUCUGUAGCAGCUCAUGUUGCAGAUGUGAUUUUUCCACCAUAAACAAAAUAGGAAUCUGAGUUUGAAGGCUUUCCCUUGAAUCCAAGACCAUGUCGAUCUGUUUUCCCAAUGUUCAGAAGAUGAUCCAAUUUGUCUGUACCACUAUUAAGCAUUCUUAAAUUCUUUUGAGUUUCUUGAAGUCUGAUUCUAACUUGUAAUGCUUCUUCUUCUUUCUCUAUUGCAUACUUUUGUGCUUUAACAA